GCGCCCGUAGCUCAGCUGGAUAGAGUGUCUGCCUCCGGAGCAGAAGGCCGCAGGUUCGAGUCCUGCCGGGCGCGCCA
rnacentral:tRNA from 1 species